rnacentral:lncRNA from 1 species
UAGGAUUAAGUAUGGAUUAUUUUAUUUUAGAUUUUAUUAUAAGUUUUUCUUUUUUAAUAUUCACUCUACUCUUUUUCUUUAUUAGUUUUUAUGUACUGGAUUUUUCUAAAGUAUUAUUUCCUUUUACAAUUCGUAGAAAUAUUUUAUUUUAUCUACAUGAUUUUUCUAAAGUAUUAGUAAGAAAUCUGAGCGUUCGCAC